rnacentral:rRNA from 1 species
UACGUAGGGCGCAAGCGUUGUCCGGAAUUAUUGGGCGUAAAGAGCUCGUAGGCGGUUUGUCGCGUCUGCUGUGAAAACUGGAGGCUCAACCGUCCAGCCUGCAGUGGGUACGGGCAGACUAGAGUGCGGUAGGGGAGAUUGGAAUUCCUGGUGUAGCGGUGGAAUGCGCAGAUAUCAGGAGGAACACCGAUGGCGAAGGCAGAUCUCUGGGCCGUAACUGACGCUGAGGAGCGAAAGCAUGGGGAGCGAACAGG